rnacentral:rRNA from 2 species
UACGGAGGGUGCGAGCGUUGUCCGGAAUCACUGGGCGUAAAGGGCGCGUAGGCGGCAUGCCAAGCGUGUGGUGAAAGCCCGGGGCUCAACCCCGGGUCGGCCGUGCGGACUGGCGUGCUUGAGCACUGUAGGGGCGGGUGGAAUUCCGGGUGUAGCGGUGGAAUGCGUAGAGAUCCGGAAGAACACCGGUGGCGAAGGCGGCCCGCUGGGCAGGAAGGAAGCGCAAGCUUCCGGCUGACGCUGAGGCGCGACAGCGUGGGGAGCAAACAGG